AGAGGUGCGGCUCAGUUGUAGAGCAUUUUCCUUACAUGCAGAAGGUCCCGAGAUCAAUCCCUCUGUAUCUCCA